UACGUAGGGUGCAAGCGUUAAUCGGAAUUACUGGGCGUAAAGCGUGCGCAGGCGGCUUUGCAAGACAGAUGUGAAAUCCCCGGGCUCAACCUGGGAACUGCAUUUGUGACUGCAUGGCUAGAGUGCGGCAGAGGGGGAUGGAAUUCCGCGUGUAGCAGUGAAAUGCGUAGAGAUGUGGAGGAACACCGAUGGCGAAGGCAGCCCCCUGGGUCAACACUGACGCUCAUGCACGAAAGCGUGGGGAGCAAACAGG
rnacentral:rRNA from 1 species